UGGCUCAGGAGUGAACGCUGGCGGCGUGCCUAACACAUGCAAGUCGAACGAAGCAUACGGACUGGAGAUUCGUCGAAGGACCGUAUGACUUAGUGGCGGACGGGUGAGUAAUGUAUGAGCAACCUGCCUUUCAGAGGGGGACAACAGUUGGAAACGACUGCUAAUACCGCGUAACGUAUUGUGAGGGCAUCCUCGUGAUACCAAAGGAGCAAUCCGCUGAAAGAUGGGCUCAUAUCUGAUUUAGCUUGUUGGCGGGGUAAGGCCCACCAAAGGCGACGAUCAGUAGCCGGACUGAGAGGUUGAACGGCCACAUUGGGACUGAGAUACGGCCCAGACUCCUACGGGAGGCAGCAGUGGGGAAUAUUGGGCAAUGGGCGAAAGCCUCGACCCAGCAACGCCGCGUGAAGGAAGAAGGUCUUCGGAUUGUAAACUUCUUUUAUGAGGGACGAAGGACGUGACGGUUACCUCAUGAAUAAGCCACGGCUAACUACGUGCCAGCCGCCGC
rnacentral:rRNA from 1 species